UCGAAGGGGGGCAGGCAUGGGAAGCAAGCCCUAGGUCCCAAUCAGGGGCACCAGCCUCGGAGCCGGGCCUGGGAGGCAGCCUCACCAGCUCACAUGGCACUUCUCUGUCCUUCCAUAGUGUUCCAGCACUCAUGCCUGAAUCCAGUCUCCCAAGGUCUUUCAUCCAAUCAAAUGUUUAUGGAGCACAUCCUAUGUCAUCGUAGCCCAGGAAGUGGGUAGGGAAGAAGGCACAAGCACUCCCGGUCCUCAUGGGACUUGAGUCAGUGGUGGUGAUAGAAGAAAAAGGCAAGGGGACACACAAAGGAUUGCAAAUUGCGAUCACGAACAAAGCAGAUGACGAGAUAAGGGAGUGGAGAGAGGGACCGACUUCAUUUAAAUAAACUCAUUCUUACAAGGACUGUUCGGGCUGCCAGGAAUGGCAGUUUUCAGGAGUACCAGUGGAAAAAAAUGAGUAUCCUUCACAACAGAACCACAAAGAAAGAUCCUAAUGAAUGAGUUUGCUAAUUGAUCACCAUUUUGACUGAUGCAAGUUGCAAGAGGAUGUUCAAUUUGUUAACAUUCACCUCGCUGUACUGAUAACAUAUGAACAUUUAUGCAUGUAUGACACUUAACAAAGUUAAAAAACAGCAAUUCAUUUAUUGCUAGAACAAUCAGAAAAUGCAGUAAAACAACAAGAAGUACAUAAAAACCACCAUUAUUUCCUGAAAAUCUUUGUUGGAAUGUUUCAAUCCACCGAUUCUUCAUCUGUUUAUCUGUAUUGAUGUGAUAGAUUUAAAGAUGUGAUAGAUUAAAGACAACCCCAUUAA